AAUGAACGCUGGCGGCGUGCUUUACACAUGCAAGUCGAGCGAGGCCACCCGCAAGGGUGAGUCGAGCGGCGAACGGGUGAGUAACGCGUGGAUUAUCUGCCCUGAGGUGGGGGAUAACCCGGGGAAGCUCGGGCUAAUACCGCAUAUGACCGUGAGGUCAAAGGGGGGUCGCAAGAUCUCUCGCCAUAGGAGGAGUCUGCGUUCGGUUAGCUAGUUGGUAGGGUAAUGGCCUACCAAGGCGACGAUCGAUAGCCGGCCUGAGAGGGUGAUCGGCCACACUGGAACUGAGACACGGGUCCAGACUCCUACGGGAGGCAGCAGUGGGGAAUUUUUGCGCAAUGGGCUAACGCCUGACGCAGCAACGCCGCGUGGAGGAUGAAGGUCCUUGGAUUGUAAACUCCUGUCAGCAGGGAAAAAGCAAGUCGGGCUAA
rnacentral:rRNA from 1 species